rnacentral:rRNA from 1 species
GGCGUAGGUGGCGAACGUUAUCCGGAAUCAUUGGGCGUAAAGGGUGCGUAGAUGGCAUGAUAAGUUAUUAGUGGGAAAUCGAGGCUCAACCUCGUGGAAGCUAGUAAUACUGUUUUGCUUGAGUACAGAAGAGGUUAACGGAACUCCAUGUGGAGCGGUAAAAUGCGUAGAUAUAUGGAAGAACAUCAAUAACGGCGAAGGCAGUUAACUAUUCUGUUACUGACAUUGAGGCACGAAAGCGUGGGGAGCAAAACGG